rnacentral:rRNA from 1 species
CCUACGGGAGGCUGCAGUCGAGAAUCAUUCACAAUGGGGGAAACCCUGAUGGUGCGACGCCGCGUGGGGGAAUGAAGGUCUUCGGAUUGUAAACCCCUGUCAUGUGGGAGCAAAUUAAAAAGAUAGUACCACAAGAGGAAGAGACGGCUAACUCUGUGCCAGCAGCCGCGGUAAUACAGAGGUCUCAAGCGUUGUUCGGAAUCACUGGGCGUAACGCGUGCGUAGGCUGUUUCGUAAGUCGUGUGUGAAAGGCGCGGGCUCAACCCGCGGACGGCACAUGAUACUGCGAGACUAGAGUAAUGGAGGGGGAACCGGAAUUCUCGGUGUAGCAGUGAAAUGCGUAGAUAUCGAGAGGAACACUCGUGGCGAAGGCGGGUUCCUGGACAUUAACUGACGCUGAGGCACGAAGGCCAGGGGAGCGAAAGGGAUUAGAUACCCGGGUAGUC